AAUAAGUUUUUAUUCUUCAGUAGAGAAUGAGAAAUAAAAACAAACUUUUUUAUUCAUAAAUUAUUUUUGGUAUGUAUUAAGGAACAAUGUUAUAGAAGGUUAUAUUACAGAUUUUGUCAAGUGAGCAGAAAAUACAGAAAUUUUAAAUGCAGAAAAUGUUCAGAAAGUGAAGUUGAUAUUGUUAAAAAGAAAAAAUGUUCUCAUUUUAACUGAACAAUAGUAAGGGAGAUAUAAUUAUUAAAUCAGGCCUGGCCUAUCCAAAUGGUUUCACGGGCCACUUUGAUGAAGCGUAACAUUACAGCGGGCCACACUUUAGGUAAACAUGCUUUUAAAAAAUGUAAUGCAAAUACAAAAUUAAUAAAACUUUAUUGUUAUACUAUGAUUCAAUAUACAGGUAGCCCUCCAUUUACGCCGAUUCACAAUAACGCCGCUACACAACUCGCUGUUUUACCGUGUAAUUCCCCGG
rnacentral:lncRNA from 1 species